rnacentral:rRNA from 1 species
GGUUUUAGGUUUUUGAGUGUAAGAUAUAUUUUUAGUAGUCUGAGUGAAAGUUUGAGGGGUCCUAGAGAGCAUUAAGUACUGAGAAGGAAAGCUGUUUUAUUUUUUGUAAAUAUUAGGUUAUUUAGUACCUUUUGUAUUAGGGUUGAUUUAUGUGGUAUUACGUUUGUUAUUUCUCGAUUAAUAACGGGCUAUUUUUUCUUUUGGAGUUCUCGUUGUAUAGCGUUUGAUAGGAAACUAUAGGUAUGAAAUAUUAUUCAAGUUGUUUUUUAUCUAGUUCUUUAAGAGAUUUAAUAUGGGGUAGGUUUAUUGGGACGAUAAGUAGGGAUUAGCUUACUUGUUUUUUAUAUUAGUUUAUUUUUAUAAUUUGUUUGUUAGGUUGAUAGUGCUUAUUUAAAUGGAGUUAUUUUCGAACAAAUUUUUUUUAUUAUUUUAGGGUUUUAUGUGGACAUUAAGGUUGUGUUUUAAAUUUUUGUUAAUAGGUAAUAAUGAUUGAAUUAGUAAUAUUUAUUUAUUUUCUUAUUUUGUAAUAGGAGCGAGGUGUGGGUGAGAGUAUGUUUAAAAUUAGAGUUGAUGAAUUGGGCAAAAUUGAUUUCUGACUGUUUAGCAAAGACAUUGUUUUUUGUUAUAAUAAAAAAUAAGUUCUGUCCACUGCUAUUGAGUGAAGGGCUGCAGUAUUUUGACUGUAUGAAGGUAGCAUAAUCAUUAGCUUUUUAAUUGGGAGCUGGUAUGAAGGUGAAACAGAGAUUUGCUGUUUUUUUUCUAUUUUUUGAAUUUUAUUUUCAUGUGAAAAAUCAUGAUUUGGUUAAUGGGACAAGAAGACCCUAAUAAGUUUUAUUUUUUUGUUUACUGCGUGCAUAGGUUUUAUUUGUGUAAUUUAUAUGAGGGGGUUUGGCUGGGGCGGCAGCUUAUGGAACAUAGGCUUAUUUUUAACUUGGUGUGGCGGGUUUUGGACCUAGGAUGUCUAGAUUAGUGUAAAAUUACUGUAGGGAUAACAGCGUGAUUUUAUUUGAGAGUUCUAAUUGACAGUAAA